rnacentral:rRNA from 1 species
GCAAGUCGAGCGGGAUCCAUCCAGUGGCAACACUGGGGAAGACCUAGCGGCGAACGGGUGAGUAACACGUGAGAAACCUGCCCCGAAGUUCGGGAUAACUCGAGGAAACUCGAGAUAACACCGGAUGCCCUCUUCCAGUCGCAUGGCCGGAUGAGGAAAGAUUCAUCGCUUCGGGAGGGUCUCGCGACCGAUCAGCUAGUUGGCGGGGUAACGGCCCACCAAGGCAUCGACGGGUAGCGGGUCUGAGAGGACGAUC